CUUUAAUAUAUACACAGACAUAUACGUCAUGCGGAGGAAGAAAGGAAAAACCGGCAGCCCAAUUCUGUCCCAACCCAACCCAACCCAACCCAUCAAUUAUAAAUGGUGUUCCCUUGUGUUCAUCGCAGAUUCUGCAUCAGCUUUCAAGAUUGUGCUCUUUGGUAGAUGGAAGUGGAAUUGGAAUUCAUUGUGAACUGAGAGGGUGCUGGCUCCUUUUCUAGGUAAAUAGCAUUGGAUCUUCUCCCAGGGAGGAGCGUAUUGGAGCCGUCAAACAGUCGCACAUACCAAAUGAAUGUUGAUCAGGCCCCGGCAGUUCACUUUGAAGAGGGAAUAAUUAUGAACAUCCUUAGCAGGUUACCUGUGCGAACUCUUCAUCAAUUCAAAUGUGUUUCAAAAUUUUGGAAUGCAUUGAUCUCCGAUCCUUACUUUAAGAUGAAGCAUUUCAAGCAUGCGAAGAACGACCGAAAUUCCCAAAAAUUCCUUAUUACCCACAUGCGCCAGAAUGGAAGUUAAUUUUCCAGCUACUGUUGUUCUUUAUCGCCGGUUCAAAUGGCUGAG